rnacentral:rRNA from 2 species
CAGGACGAACGCUGGCGGCGUGCCUAAUACAUGCAAGUCGAGCGGACAGAAGGGAGCUUGCUCCCGGAUGUUAGCGGCGGACGGGUGAGUAACACGUGGGUAACCUGCCUGUAAGACUGGGAUAACUCCGGGAAACCGGAGCUAAUACCGGAUAGUUCCUUGAACCGCAUGGUUCAAGGAUGAAAGACGGUUUCGGCUGUCACUUACAGAUGGACCCGCGGCGCAUUAGCUAGUUGGUGAGGUAACGGCUCACCAAGGCGACGAUGCGUAGCCGACCUGAGAGGGUGAUCGGCCACACUGGGACUGAGACACGGCCCAGACUCCUACGGGAGGCAGCAGUAGGGAAUCUUCCGCAAUGGACGAAAGUCUGACGGAGCAACGCCGCGUGAGUGAUGAAGGUUUUCGGAUCGUAAAGCUCUGUUGUUAGGGAAGAACAAGUGCAAGAGUAACUGCUUGCACCUUGACGGUACCUAACCAGAAAGCCACGGCUAACUACGUGCCAGCAGCCGCGGUAAUACGUAGGUGGCAAGCGUUGUCCGGAAUUAUUGGGCGUAAAGGGCUCGCAGGCGGUUUCUUAAGUCUGAUGUGAAAGCCCCCGGCUCAACCGGGGAGGGUCAUUUGGAAACUGGGAAACUUGAGUGCAGAAGAGGAGAGUGGAAUUCCACGUGUAGCGGUGAAAUGCGUAGAGAUGUGGAGGAACACCAGUGGCGGAAGGCGACUCUCUGGUCUGUAACUGACGCUGAGGAGCGAAAGCGUGGGGAGCGAACAGGAUUAGAUACCCUGGUAGUCCACGCCGUAAACGAUGAGUGCUAAGUGUUAGGGGGUUUCCGCCCCUUAGUGCUGCAGCUAACGCAUUAAGCACUCCGCCUGGGGAGUACGGUCGCAAGACUGAAACUCAAAGGAAUUGACGGGGGCCCGCACAAGCGGUGGAGCAUGUGGUUUAAUUCGAAGCAACGCGAAGAACCUUACCAGGUCUUGACAUCCUCUGACAACCCUAGAGAUAGGGCUUUCCCUUCGGGGACAGAGUGACAGGUGGUGCAUGGUUGUCGUCAGCUCGUGUCGUGAGAUGUUGGGUUAAGUCCCGCAACGAGCGCAACCCUUGAUCUUAGUUGCCAGCAUUCAGUUGGGCACUCUAAGGUGACUGCCGGUGACAAACCGGACGAAGGUGGGGGAUGACAUCCCAUCAUCAUG